AAAUAUUCCUCUUUCCCACAUCUCUCUCAAUUUAUCCUUCCCUAAUAACCGAACAUUUUAGCCUUGUAUACAGGUCUUGGAGACUUGGAGAAGGUGGUUUGGGUUGUGGAACGACGAAGGCUAGUUGAGCAAGAUGGAGAAGCAGGGCACGUGCAUUACUAACUCAUGCACUUUAACCCGAAGCUAGCUUAAUGUUAGCUAGGCAUCAUAUGGUUGCCACAUGUAAUCCAUAGAUAUGGUGCAUUGUGUGCUUAGCUUCAACUGGCUCAAUGAGUUAGUACUUCAUGUGCCUGCCUUCCCCAUCGUGAUCACUCGACCUUAUACUAAUGGAUUCACAGGAUGGAUUGCUGCCCGAAACCCUCUACAACACUAGUCUCAGCAGAUCUCUGUCGCAGCCUUGCAGAAGUAUUGAUAUGUCUACAAGCAAGAAGGGAGGAAAUGGGGCACUUUUUUCCCCGGAUCUAAUCUUAGUAGCUUCGUUUUCUGCCACUGUUGAUUGAGUGAGUGGCCACAAUCAUCAGUACACAGUUGUGUUAUGUAGUUGUAACAAUUUUCAUGUUAUCCACCAUUACAGAGAGCACUCGGAAGCCGAAUUGAAUGUUUCAGAAUC